ACUUGCGCCCUUGCGGCCCGCGCAUGUGGACGCCGCUGUGUUUCGUACGCGGUGUCUUGUGCGAUGUCUCUACCUGCUUGCAGCAGGAGGAAGCGAGGAACCGACCCGCUCUUGCCAUACUCCUGGCCACCGCCAGAGGGCGACAGGCCCUCACGCUAACUCCCACUCCCACUCGAGAUCAGGACACAGAGGUUCAAGUUCAAGUUUGUCAGUCCAGCCGUAUACAAGUAUACAGAGGAGCGAGAUAUCGUCCUCCAGGUCUACUGUGCGAGUACAGACAAGACACUGACAAGACAACGUAGACGCAGACAUUUCUGACUAGGUACAGGGUAACAUCAAGUGCAAUGUGCAGAGUGCAAUUGACUUUACAGGAUUGUGCAAAGAACACGUCAGACAGUACGUACGCCUGACAUCUGGCAAAAAGAACUAGGUUUCCAGAUUUGGAGUAGGUUCAGUGGGUACCAGGGGGUUGAGGAGCCUGCGGUGCCUUGGUGUGAGCAGCGUGUGUGGUCGCUGUCCUGGGUGGACGGAAGGGAGGCCCCAGUGGUGUUUCCUGCCGGGGGGGUGAGAGGCGUCCUUCGGGUGACUGUCGGCCCUUGCGAAGGAGAAGCUGGGCUGGUGUUGUUAAGUGCUCACAGAACUCACUGGACUUUCCUCACACGUGACUCAGCCUGCUGGGCUAUAAAGACAGAGAGGCAGCCAGGGGAAAUCAGAAUCGGGACAGAGUGAGAGAGAAGACUGCUUCCACACGCACAGAGAGAAGACUGCUUCCACACACACAGAGAGAGAAGACUGCUUCCACACGCACAGAGAGAGAAGACUGCUUCCACACGCACAGAGAGAAGACUGCUUCCACACGCACAGAGAGAGAAGACUGCUUCCACAAGCACAGAGAGAGAAGACUGCUUCCACACGCACAGAGAAGACUGCUUCCACACGCACAGAGAGAACGCAGUGCAGCCAUGCAGACUCACAACACUGACAGCAGGAGUGCAGAGACCACAGACAGGUAGCAUCCCUUCACUCUUCACUUCCUC